GAUGAACGCUGGCGGCGUGCCUAAUACAUGCAAGUCGAGCGAACAGACGAGGAGCUUGCUCCUCUGACGUUAGCGGCGGACGGGUGAGUAACACGUGGAUAACCUACCUAUAAGACUGGGAUAACUUCGGGAAACCGGAGCUAAUACCGGAUAAUAUAUUGAACCGCAUGGUUCAAUAGUGAAGUACGGUUUUUCUGUCACUUAUAGAUGGAUCCGCGCCGCAUUAGCUAGUUGGUAAGGUAACGGCUUACCAAGGCAACGAUGCGUAGCCGACCUGAGAGGGUGAUCGGCGACACUGGAGCUGGAACACGGUCCAGACUCCUACGAGAGGCAGCAGUAGGGAAUCUUACGCAAUGGGCGAAAGCAUGACGGAGCAACGCCGCGUGAGUGAUGAAGGUCUUCGGAGCGUAAAACUCUGUUAUUAGGGAAGAACAAAUGUGUAAGUAACUAUGCACGUCUUGACGGUACCUAAUCAGAAAGCCACGGCUAACUACGUG
rnacentral:rRNA from 1 species